UACGUAGGGCGCAAGCGUUGUCCGGAAUUAUUGGGCGUAAAGAGCUCGUAGGCGGUCUGUUACGUCCGCUGUGAAAACCCAGGGCUUAACCCUGGGCUUGCAGUGGAUACGGGCAGACUAGAGGCAGGUAGGGGAGAAUGGAAUUCCCGGUGUAGCGGUGAAAUGCGCAGAUAUCGGGAGGAACACCGGUGGCGAAGGCGGUUCUCUGGGCCUGACCUGACGCUGAUGCGCGAAAGCCAGGGGAGCGAACGGG
rnacentral:rRNA from 1 species